UUCCGGUUGAUCCUGCCAGACCCGACUGCUAUCAGAGUGGGACUAAGCCAUGCGAGUUAACGUAGCAAUACGUGGCAUACGGCUCAGUAACACGUAGUCAACAUGCCCAGGGGACGUGGAUAACCUCGGGAAACUGAGGAUAAACCGCGAUAGGUCAUGAUUUCUGGAAUGAUUCAUGGCCGAAAUCUACAUGGCCCCUGGAUUGGACUGCGGCCGAUCAGGCUGUUGGUGAGGUAAUGGCCCACCAAACCUGUUACGGNUACGGGCUCUGAGAGGAGGAGCCCG
rnacentral:rRNA from 1 species